AGACUGUAAGGGCCAUCUGGCUGUGACAUCUGUCACCCCACUGAUCGCCAGGGUUGAUUGGCUGAUCUGGCUGGCUGGCUGGCUGGGUGUCCCCUUCCUCCCUCACUGCUCUGUGUGCAUCCCUCCCAGACUGAAGUUUACCCUGGGGACACUGAGCACUGGGGAUGAGCUGUUCUAUUAAUCCCUGACUUAUAGCAUUAUAUUUGCAGGUCAGAACAUAGGGAGGAACUGAAAGGCUGAUUGAUAAGAGGAAAAACGAGACGAAGUUGUUUUGUUGAAAUAC
rnacentral:sRNA from 1 species